UAUUUUAAUUUCGGAAGCGGGUCUGAAGUACAGUUAUAAUUGGAGUAGAGCGUAGAAAGAACUAAAAAGUAUCCUUUCUUUGUUGUGUGUUUGGAGGGAGCUAAGCAGCAUGAAGAGCACAGAGGAUAUAUCAUAUGUUAACCAGCAAGAAGCCAUAGAAAUUGAUCAGAUGUUGAUGGGUCCUCUUGGUUUUACUGUUGAUCAGCUCAUGGAAUUGGCAGGCUUGACUGUUGCCUCUGCAAUUGGAGAGGUCUAUAGUUCAAGUGAAUAUACUCGCGUGCUUGUUAUAUGUGGUCCUGGUAACAAUGGUGGGGAUGGUCUUGUAGCUGCUCGACACUUACAUCACUUUGGUUAUAAGCCCUCCAUUUGUUAUCCAAAACGGAAUACCGAACCUCCCUUUGCUGGUUUAGUUACCCAGCUUGAGUCACUGUCAGUUCCAUUCUUGCCAGUGGAAGAUCUACCCGUGCAGCUUUCAAGUGACUUUGAAAUUAUAGUGGAUGCAAUUUUUGGAUUCUCAUUCCAUGGUAACCCAAGGCCACCGUUUGAUAGUCUCAUUAGAAGGCUGGUCUCCAUACAAAACCAGCAGCGCACACAUGAAAAAGCAGCUGUCAUUAUAUCUGUAGACAUACCUUCCGGGUGGCACGUGGUAGAGGGAGACAUUUGUGGUGAAGGCAUUGAACCUGAUAUGCUGGUCUCUUUGACUGCUCCAAAAUUGUGUGCCAAAAUGUUUUGUGGCCUGCAUCAUUUUUUGGGUGGAAGAUUUGUUCCACAAUCCAUCAUAGACAAAUUCAAGUUAAAACUUCCACCAUAUCCCGGCACUUCCAUGUGUGUUCGAAUUGGAAAUUUUCCAGAAACCAAUUCAUCAGCACAGAAAGGGAUAUUUACGGCUUCUGUAAAUCUUGAGGUGGAGGAAAAUCCUAUUGAUCAGGUUGAGUUGUAUAAAUUUCAAAAGUGGCUUGGUGAUGCAUCGGAAGCUGGUGUCAAAGAACCCCAUUAUAUGGUCCUAUCGACAGCUGGUAAAGAUGCAAAACCUUCAUCGCGAAUGGUAUCAUUGGAAGGAGUAAACAAAGAUGGUUUUGUCUGGCACACCAACUAUAGGAGUCGAAAGGCUCGUGAAAUUUCUGAAAAUCCUCAUGCAUCACUUCUCUUUUACUGGGGUCCUAUAAAAUGCCAGGUAAGAGUGGAGGGAUUUGUGGAGCAAGUUUCUGAUGAGGAAUCUGAACGAUACUUCUCUAGUCUUCCUCUAGAUAUCCAGAUUAGACCAAUAGUUAGCAAGCAGCUAGUUUCCAAUCUCUUCUGCAAGUUCAGAGCACACUGAUUCAUGGACGAGAGAUUCUCCAUCAUCAGUACAAAGAAUUCGAGGAGAAGUACCAUGACAGUAUUCCAUCUGUGCCUAGCAGAAGUAUUCUAUUGGUUGGGAUACAGUUAAGAUGCAUUUCAGUUAUGUGAUUGUUGUCCCAUACUUAGAAUUAGUGGAUAUCAUUUUAGCAUUUAUAAUAUUUAGAUCGAAUUCUUCAACAGUUGCUUCUCAUUGUUCGAACAUGUAAAAGACGUAACUUUUGUGUAUGCAUUCUUGGAAAAAUGUCUGACCAAGACUUGUUGAUUACAACCUAAUCAUACUUUGUUUUUCCUUUCUCUAAAGAAAAGUUGUUUUUUAGUCUAGAUUCAAGUGAACCUCAAAGCAAUCCUUUUCCCCUAACAUGCAGAACUUCAAUAGCAAGACCCAAACACUGGGGUGGCUACAGGCUUAUUCCAGAAUUUUUUGAGUUUUGGCAGGGAGAGGAAUCUCAAGUUCACCUCAAAUUUCGGUACUGUGUGGAGGAGAUUGAUGGAAGAAGAGUAUGGACAAUUCAUAGAUUGGUCCCACAGUUGGCAGAAUCAGCAUCAUCAUUGUGACUUGCCAUCUCUUUGAACUUAGCAAUAAUGCACCAGUGCAUGCAUAUGAUAGGAAGCUAGCAAUUAGAUCUUUUCUUUUCCUGUUUUCCCUUCUGAUUACCUUCUUUGGGUAGGACAUUGCACUUGGGAGGUGAUAUAAUAUUUCUGAGGGUGUGCAUAUGUAUUGCCAGAAAUUGUUUACUUGCUCGUUAUCUCUUUGUAAGUAUCUCUGCGCUGAUUUGCAUAGUAUAUCUCUUCUAGUUCUGUUUCA